UUAUUGGGCGUAAAGAGCUCGUAGGCGGUUUGUCGCGUCUGUCGUGAAAGUCCGGGGCUUAACCCCGGAUCUGCGGUGGGUACGGGCAGACUAGAGUGCAGUAGGGGAGACUGGAAUUCCUGGUGUAGCGGUGGAAUGCGCAGAUAUCAGGAGGAACACCGAUGGCGAAGGCAGGUCUCUGGGCUGUAACUGACGCUGAGGAGCGAAAGCAUGGGGAGCGAACAGGAUUAGAUACCCUGGUAGUCCAUGCCGUAAACGUUGGGCACUAGGUGUGGGGACCAUUCCACGGUUUCCGCGCCGCAGCUAACGCAUUAAGUGCCCCGCCUGGGGAGUACGGCCGCAAGGCUAAAACUCAAAGGAAUUGACGGGGGCCCGCACAAGCGGCGGAGCAUGCGGAUUAAUUCGAUGCAACGCGAAGAACCUUACCAAGGCUUGACAUGUUCUCGAUCGCCGUAGAGAUACGGUUUCCCCUUUGGGGCGGGUUCACAGGUGGUGCAUGGUUGUCGUCAGCUCGUGUCGUGAGAUGUUGGGUUAAGUCCCGCAACGAGCGCAACCCUCGUUCCAUGUUGCCAGCACGUCGUGGUGGGGACUCAUGGGAGACUGCCGGGGUCAACUCGGAGGAAGGUGAGGACGACGUCAAAUCAUCAUGCCCCUUAUGUCUUGGGCUUCACGCAUGCUACAAUGGCCGGUACAAUGGGUUGCGAUACUGUGAGGCGGAGCUAAUCCCAAAAAGCCGGUCUCAGUUCGGAUUGGGGUCUGCAACUCGACCCCAUGAAGUCG
rnacentral:rRNA from 1 species